rnacentral:rRNA from 1 species
GAUGAACGCUGGCGGCGUGCUUAACACAUGCAAGUCGAACGAUGAAGCCCAGCUUGCUGGGUGGAUUAGUGGCGAACGGGUGAGUAACACGUGAGUAACCUGCCCUUGACUCUGGGAUAAGCCCGGGAAACUGGGUCUAAUACCGGAUAGGAGCGCCUGUCGCAUGACGGGUGCUGGAAAGAUUUUUCGGUCAUGGAUGGACUCGCGGCCUAUCAGCUUGUUGGUGAGGUAAUGGCUCACCAAGGCGACGACGGGUAGCCGGCCUGAGAGGGUGACCGGCCACACUGGGACUGAGACACGGCCCAGACUCCUACGGGAGGCAGCAGUGGGGAAUAUUGCACAAUGGGCGGAAGCCUGAUGCAGCGACGCCGCGUGAGGGAUGACGGCCUUCGGGUUGUAAACCUCUUUCAGUAGGGAAGAAGCGGAAGUGACGGUACCUGCAGAAGAAGCACCGGCUAACUACGUG